rnacentral:rRNA from 1 species
UACGAAGGGGGCUAGCGUUUUUCGGAAUUACUGGGCGUAAAGCGCACGUAGGCGGCUUUGCAAGUUAGAGGUGAAAGCCCGGGGCUCAACUCCGGAAUUGCCUUUAAAACUGCAUCGCUAGAAUUGUGGAGAGGUAAGUGGAAUUCCGAGUGUAGAGGUGAAAUUCGUAGAUAUUCGGAAGAACACCAGUGGCGAAGGCGACUUACUGGACACAUAUUGACGCUGAGGUGCGAAAGCGUGGGGAGCAAACAGG